rnacentral:tRNA from 1 species
GCCCGGGUGGUGGAACUGGUAGACACGCGUGGUUCAGGUCCACGUGCUUAACGGCUUGCAGGUUCAAGUCCUGUCCCGGGUACCA